CAUGUAGGCGGUCUGUCAAGUCUGAUGUGAAAGCCCGGGGCUCAACCCCGGAAGUGCAUUGGAAACUGGCAGACUUGAGUAUGGGAGAGGAAAGUGGAAUUUCGAGUGUAGGGGUGAAAUCCGUAGAUAUUCGAAGGAACACCAGUGGCGAAGGCGGCUUUCUGGACCGAUACUGACGCUGAGAUGCGAAAGCGUGGGGAGCAAACAGGAUUAGAUACCCUGGUAGUCC
rnacentral:rRNA from 1 species